GACGAACGCUGGCGGCGUGCUUAACACAUGCAAGUCGAACGGAAAGGCCCUGCUUUUGUGGGGUGCUCGAGUGGCGAACGGGUGAGUAACACGUGAGUAACCUGCCCUUGUCUUUGGGAUAACUUCAGGAAACUGGGGCUAUUACCGGAUAGGAGCUCCUGCUGCACGGUGUGCGUUGGAAAGUUUCGGCGGUGCGGGAUGGACUCGCGGCUUAUCAGCUUGUUGGUCGGGUAGUUGCGUACCAAGGCUUUGACGGGUAGCCGGCCUGAGAGGGUGGCCGGCGUCCUGGGUACUGCGGUACGCACCAGACUGCUACGGGCCGCAACAGUGGGAAAUAUUGCGCAAUAGCCGGAAGCCUGAGACGACAGCGCCCGGUGCGGGAUGACCGCCUUCGGGUUAUAAACCGCUUUGGCCUGUGCCGAAGCGAGAGUGACGGUAAUGGAUAAAAAAGCCCCGGCUAACUACGUG
rnacentral:rRNA from 1 species